AGAUUGAACGCUGGCGGCAGGCCUAACACAUGCAAGUCGAGCGCGAAAGUUCCUUCGGGAAUGAGUAGAGCGGCGGACGGGUGAGUAACGCGUAGGAAUUUGCCCAGUAGUGGGGGACAACUCGGGGAAACUCGAGCUAAUACCGCAUACGCCCCAAGGGGGAAAGCAGGGGAUCUUCGGACCUUGCGCUAUUGGAUAAGCCUGCGUCGGAUUAGCUAGUUGGUGGGGUAAGGGCCUACCAAGGCAACGAUCCGUAGCUGGUCUGAGAGGAUGAUCAGCCACACUGGGACUGAGACACGGCCCAGACUCCUACGGGAGGCAGCAGUGGGGGAAUAUUGGACAAUGGGGGCAACCCUGAUCCAGCCAUGCCGCGUGUGUGAAGAAGGCCUUAGGGUUGUAAAGCACUUCAGUGGGAGGAAAGCUGGCGGCUAAUAUCCGUCGCCCGUGACCGUUACCCACAGAAGAAGCACCGGCAACUCCGCGCCAGCAGCCGC
rnacentral:rRNA from 1 species